GACGAACGCUGGCGGCGUGCUUAACACAUGCAAGUCGAACGGAAAGGCCCUGCUUUUGUGGGGUGCUCGAGUGGCGAACGGGUGAGUAACACGUGAGUAACCUGCCCUUGACUUUGGGAUAACUUCAGGAAACUGGGGCUAAUACCGGAUAGGAGCUCCUGCUGCAUGGUGGGGGUUGGAAAGUUUCGGCGGUUGGGGAUGGACUCGCGGCUUAUCAGCUUGUUGGUGGGGUAGUGGCUUACCAAGGCUUUGACGGGUAGCCGGCCUGAGAGGGUGACCGGCCACAGUGGGACUGAGAUACGGCCCAGACUCCUACGGGAGGCAGCAGUGGGGAAUAUUGCACAAUGGGCGGAAGCCUGAUGCAGCAACGCCGCGUGCGGGAUGACGGCCUUCGGGUUGUAACCGCUUUCGCCUGUGACGAAGCGUGAGUGACGGUAAUGGGUAAAGAAGCACCGGCUAACUACGUG
rnacentral:rRNA from 1 species